rnacentral:lncRNA from 1 species
CCAGUGACGAUACGAACUCGCUCAUUGCUAUUCAUACGCUUAUAUUUGUUUUCAGACCUGCUGACAAACUGUAGUAUUUGGCCCAAGAGAAAGCUUGCUCUGGACAGACGAGGGCUGGUUUUUGGGUCACUCUGUGGGGCAGGCUCCUCUGGCUGCAGUGUAUUCCGGAGAGCCCUCAGGGUGUUGUGUGAGCUCUCUGUCUCAUCUUUGCUUCCUCUGUGCAUCAGCCGCU